AAGCAGGAGCGAAAGCACGACAAGCUACAAACUUUGCAAACUGAGUUUCAACUUGACCACAAACCCAAAAACUAGCUGUGACGGAGGAGGAGGAGGAGAAGAAGAAGAAGAGUGUGAUAAAGGAGCAACACUAAACUGCCUACAGACGGAGACAUGCAUUCUUAAGGAGUAGGUCACGACUCAGAUGUGGAGAUAGGGCAGGUGAGCUGUCAGACGAACAAACACCCACAAUAUGGAGAAGAGAAUGAAGAGACGUGGAUGUGGCUGAUUGACAGGCAUCCUGCCAAGGGGCCUCUGCGGUCGCUGAAAUAUGGAAUGCAAAUUACAGCCAUGUAGUCUCCACGGUGCGGAUUCUUGUGCACAAGUCAAGUGAAGAAAUACCACUGCAGUGGAUCACAUUUCUAACAGAUGGAACUCCUGAGUUGAGAUUUCUUCUGUUUGUAUUCAUAAGGAGACGGGAAAUGGAUCAGUUGCCGAAGAAAUAAUAACUUUUCAUACCGUGACCUUUUAGAAACAAAUCUCUUCGCCAAUGCUAACCAAACAGAGAGCUCUGAAAACUUCCUGCGGGGCAUUUCCCACACUCUUUCGAAAGACUGACGUAGACCCUUACCCUGACACAGUAAUACAACAAUAAGAUUUCAUGCCAAGAUAUUUGAGCAUCAGCCGGGCGCCUGAGUGUGUGUGUCUACCUGCAUGUCUGUGAGCAUCCAUGCAUGUUAGUGAGCAACGACUGACCUUUAACCUUGGCGAUGACCGUUCCAGCCGCUCCCAGAAUGUCCACAGAGUUGAGUGUCGGGUGUUUGCCGAUGACAGCCUUGAGGAUUCGGAGUAACUCUGCCAAACGCUCCUGAACCACCACCUGGAGACCUUCAAGAUUCUCUGGAGGAGGAAAAAAAGAAACAGUUCCCUUCAGCUGGAUUCAUUAAGUGUAUGCACCGUUUCGCGGAAGAUGAUUGCGAUACAGUGACUAAGUCAGUUGUUGCAGCACAGAAUUGCUAUGAUGAAACUGCUGCUCUGCUUCCCUCAGGCAGAG